CUACCACAUCCAAGGAAGGCAGCAGGCGCGCAAAUUACCCACUCCCGGAACGGGGAGGUAGUGACGAAAAAUAACAAUACGGGACUCUUUUGAGACCCCGUAAUUGGAAUGAGCACACUUUAGACCCUUUAGCGAGGAUCAAUUGGAGGGCCAGUCUGGUGCCAGCAGCCGCGGCAAUUCCAGCUCCAAUAGCGUAUAUUAAAGUUGUUGCGGUUAAAAAGCUCGUAGUUGGAUCUCAGUUCCAGACGGGUGGUCCGCCUACCGGUGGUUACUGCCUGUUCUGAACCGCCCCGCCGGUUUCUCUUGAUGAUCUUCACCGGUUGUCUUGGGUGACCGGCAAGUUUACUUUGAAAAAAUUAGAGUGCUCAAAGCAGCCGUGACGGCUGAAUAAUGGUGCAUGGAAUAAUGGAAUAGGACCUCGGUUCUAUUUUGUUGGUUUUCGGAACAAGAGGUAAUGAUUAAGAGGGACAGACGGGGGCAUUCGUAUUGCGACGCUAGAGGUGAAAUUCUUGGACCGUCGCAAGACGAACUACUGCGAAAGCAUUUGCCAAGAAUGUUUCCAUUAAUCAAGAACGAAAGUUAGAGGUUCGAAGGCGAUCAGAUACCGCCCUAGUUCUAACCAUAAACGAUGCCAGCCAGCGAUCCGGAUGUGUUCCUCAAAUGACACUCCGGGCAGCUUCCGGGAAACCAAAGCUUUUGGGUUCCGGGGGAAGUAUGGUU
rnacentral:rRNA from 1 species